GGGUUCAUGGCCUAAUGGUAAGGCGUCAGAUUUCGGUUCCACUCACGGUUCUCCGCUCUCUGAAGAUUGCAGGUUCGAUCCCUGCUGAGCUCG
rnacentral:tRNA from 1 species